rnacentral:lncRNA from 1 species
GGAAGUCCAGGCCACGGCUGCGUGCCCAGCUCAGGUCAUGUUUACCAGGCAGGCCAGUGCCAGGGCCCCCGCCCGGCCUCGCAGCCCUGAGUUAACUCAGGCUCCAGGAUAAACACCCAUUCAGCCACACAAGGCCCCUUUGUCCUGGGAGAGAGGCUCCCGGCCCAGGACGCUGCCUGGUGGCCGGUGUCCUCGGCGCGGCCCCAGGCCCGGCCAGGUGCCCUGACACGUUCAGCCGCCCUGCACGGCCUUCUCCGGGCAGGCUCCCGGCUUGGCUCAGAGAGGCCCCAGCAGGGGACAGGGCCCUGGGCAGCUGUCAGAGGAGCCAGAAGGCCAGACCGGCAGGGCUGAGUGAGGAGGAGGACCUGGCAGCCGCCUUGUGUCCUGAGACCUUGUCAGAGCAGAGCUGACCCGGCAAAGAGAGGUGGGAGUCCUGCGGCCGGACAUGCCUGUGGGCAGCGGGGAGGCCGAGG